rnacentral:rRNA from 1 species
GAUGAACGCUGGCGGCGUGCCUAAUACAUGCAAGUCGAGCGAACGGACGAGAAGCUUGCUUCUCUGAUGUUAGCGGCGGACGGGUGAGUAACACGUGGAUACCCUACCUAUAAGACUGGGAUAACUUCGGGAAACCGGAGCUAAUACCGGAUAAUAUUUUGCACCGCAUGGUUCAAAAGUGAAAGACGGUCUUGCUGUCACUUAUAGAUGGAUCCGCGCUGCAUUAGCUAGUUGGUAAGGUAACGGCUUACCAAGGCUACGAUGCAUAGCCGACCUGAGAGGGUGAUCGGCCGCACUGGAACUUGGACACGGUCCAGACUCCUACGGGAGGCAGCAGUAGGGAAUCUUCCGCAAUGGGCGAAAGCCUGACGGAGCAACGCCGCGUGAGUGAUGAAGGUCUUCGGAUCGUAAAACUCUGUUAUUAGGGAAGAACAUAUGUGUAAGUAACUGUGCACAUCUUGACGGUACCUAAUCAGAAAGCCACGGCUAACUACGUG